ACAGAGGGUGCAAGCGUUGUUCGGAAUUAUUGGGCGUAAAGCGCGUGUAGGCGGCUUUGCAAGUCGGGUGUGAAAUCCCUCAGCUUAACUGAGGAAGGGCGCCCGAAACUGCAGAGCUGGAGUCCUGGAGAGGAAGGCGGAAUUCUCGGUGUAGAGGUGAAAUUCGUAGAUAUCGAGAGGAACACCGGUGGCGAAGGCGGCCUUCUGGACAGUGACUGACGCUGAGACGCGAAAGCGUGGGGAGCAAACAGGA
rnacentral:rRNA from 1 species